CCUACGGGGGCAGCAGUCGAGAAUCAUUCACAAUGGGGGAAACCCUGAUGGUGCGACGCCGCGUGAUGGAAGACGGUUUUCGGAUUGUAAACUUCUGUUCUUAGUGAAGAAUAAUGACGGUAGCUAAGGAGCAAGCCACGGCUAACUACGUGCCAGCAGCCGCGGUAAUACGUAGGUGGCAAGCGUUGUCCGGAAUUACUGGGUGUAAAGGGAGCGCAGGCGGGAAGCCAAGUCAGCUGUGAAAACUACGGGCUUAACUUGUAGACUGCAGUUGAAACUGGUUUUCUUGAGUGCUGGAGAGGCAAUCGGAAUUCCGGGUGUAGCGGUGAAAUGCGUAGAUAUACGGAGGAACACCAGUGGCGAAGGCGGAUUGCUGGACAGUAACUGACGCUGAGGCGCGAAAGCGUGGGGAGCAAACAGGAUUAGAUACCCCUGUAGUC
rnacentral:rRNA from 1 species